rnacentral:rRNA from 1 species
AUGGCAAAAACAUGUGAGAAAGCUGUUUCAUUUUUUGGAAUUGUUCAGCGCAUAUAUAUAUUAUUUGCUGGUUCUACGAAAAGGUGGAAUGUUUUGCUUAAACAUGUUCCUAGUUUGACUGUGAAAUCAUUGUCCAACACUCGCUGGGAGAGUCGAAUCAAACGUGUUACAACAAUAAGAUAUCAAGGCAUUGAGUUAAGGUCAGCUUUG